rnacentral:rRNA from 1 species
UACGUAGGGGGCAAGCGUUGUCCGCAAUCAUUGGGCGUAAAGCGCGCGUAGGCGGUCUGUUAAGUGCACAAGUGAAAGCUCCGGGCUCAACUCGGAAAUUGCUUUGCAUACUGGCAGGCUGGAGGGACGCAGAGGUCUGUGGAAUUCCUGGUGUAACGGUGAAAUGUGUUGAUAUCAGGAGGAACACCCAUGGCGAAGGCAGCAGACUGGGCGUUUCCUGACGCUGAGGCGCGAAAGCGUGGGUAGCAAACAGG